rnacentral:rRNA from 1 species
ACAACUUGAACUACUCUUGUUUCAGCUUGUGUCAAGAACGAUUGGAUUACAAUUUUCAGCGACGGAUAUCUUGGCUCGAGCACCUAUGAAGGGCGCAGCGAAGUGCGAUAAUCGUUGUGAAUUGCAGAACUCCGUGAACCAAUGGCCUCUUGAACGUGCAUUGCGCUCUUGGGAUAUGCCUGAGAGCAUGUCUGCUUCAGUGCUU